UACAGAGGGGGCAAGCGUUGUUCGGAAUUACUGGGCGUAAAGGGCGCGUAGGCGGCCCUCUAAGUCAGACGUGAAAUCCCUCGGCUCAACCGGGGAACUGCGUCUGAGACUGGAAGGCUUGAAUUCGGGAGAGGGAUGUGGAAUUCCAGGUGUAGCGGUGAAAUGCGUAGAUAUCUGGAGGAAUACCGGUGGCGAAGGCGGCAUCCUGGACCAUUACUGACGCUGAGGCGCGAAAGCUAGGGGAGCAAACGGG
rnacentral:rRNA from 1 species